rnacentral:rRNA from 1 species
UCAUCGAGUUUUUGAACGCAAUUUGCGCCCGAGGCCUCGGUCGAGGGCACGUCUGUCUGGGCGUCGCAUCCUACAUACACGCGCUCCCUGCAAGGCAUGGGGGAGGAGCGGAGAUGGUCGUCCGUUCCCAACGUGGUUCGGUCGGCUGAAAUACAUGCCAUGCUCCGUGUCUUGUGUCGGCGAGCGGUGAUAUUGUCCCCUUGUUUGGGCGAGUCGGCGUUGGUUGAUGCAGGGUGUGUGCAGCAUUUCGGGAACUUGCUUUGCCCAUCGACUUUCCAUCUUGGUGGAGGUCUUUGGCUCCAAAUGCGACCCCAGCUCAGGCGAGAACACCCGCUGAGUUUAAGCAUA